GCUGUGUCAACUGCUUCAGCCAGAUCAAAGAAUAUAAGUAUUCUUUGAGCCAGAUAUUGAACGAAAAAUUGAAACAAUCAAAAAUAAGCUAUUUUUAAAAAAAUGUAGAAUAAUUGCUUUGAUUUAAUAAGAAUAAAUAUAUCUUUGGAUCGUUGCCCGGUUAGUUAUUAUGGUUUAAUACCACAUGAGAGCAAUUGAAGUUGGAACGAAUGUGGUGUAUGAUGCAAUUUUCAGUUUUCUGCGUAUGAAUAAUAUCAAAAUAUUAAAAUAAAUGAGAGUAAUCAUACAUAAUCGAUGUCCAAGUUUGCACUGAUUUAACAUUCAUUGUGUCAAAGACGUCACUUCAAGAGCGCGAGUGCUCUCUAAUAAGGGAUGAAAUUUCAGUGAGGUCUGAUCUGGAGUACAAUAAUAAAACGGAUUGUAUAGAUGGAUUUGUCGAUUUUGGGAAUAAUUGUAGAGAAAAUAUUGUUACCAAUAAAUGUCUAAUUUUUAUGUAGAAGACAACUUUUGCUAGUUGAAAGUUUACUCUUAGCUAUUAUCCAGUUCAGCAACUAGAUGGAACUGCACUGAAGAAAAUAGACUAUAAAAAUUUAGAUCGCGCAAUUGCGAUUUGAUUCAGCGUGCACAAAGUGCGCAGUACUGAAUUAUAAAGAUAAUGUAGUGUAUAUUUCGUAUAAUUACUGUAAUUUAUUUUAAUCUAAAAAAAAUAAUUUUCUUAGUACAGAUUUACGAAUUAAUUCUGACUUUGCUUUUGCUGUAGUUAUUAGAAUUUUAGUUAAAGAAGAUUCUAAAGAUAUGCAUUUCAGAGCAUGUACUAA